GGCUGGUAAAAUAUUUGAAAGGUUAUUAAGGGAUAAUAUUCAAGAAUUCCUUGAGAAGAACAUGGUUAUCAGCAAAAAUCAGCACGGUUUUAUGAAGCACAGGUCAUGUCAAACUAACUUGAUUGCGUUCUACGAAGAAAUAAGUAGAAGUAUAGAUCAGGGUGUUGCCGUGGAUGUGAUCUAUUUGGAUUUUGCCAAGGCAUUUGAUACAGU